rnacentral:rRNA from 1 species
GACGAACGCUGGCGGCGUGCUUAACUCAUACAAGUCGAACGGAAAGGCCCUGCUUUUGUGGGGUGCUCGAGUGGCGAACGGGUGAGUAACACGUGAGUAACCUGCCCUUGACUUUGGGAUAACUUCAGGAAACUGGGGCUAAUACCGGAUAGGAGCUCCUGCUGCAUGGUGGGGGUUGGAAAGUUUCGGCGGUUGGGGAUGGACUCGCGGCUUAUCAGCUUGUUGGUGGGGUAGUGGCUUACCAAGGCUUUGACGGGUAGCCGGCCUGAGAGGGUGACCGGCCACAUUGGGACUGAGAUACGGCCCAGACUCCUACGGGAGGCAGCAGUGGGGAAUAUUGCACAAUGGGCGGAAGACUGAUGCAGCACCGCCGCGUGCGGGAUGACGGCCUUCGGGUUGUAAACCGCUUUCGCCUGUGACGACGCGUGAGUGACGGUAAUGGGUAAAGAAGCACCGGCUAACUACGUG